GGCACUUUGGCCGAGUGGUCUAAGGCGCCGUGUUCAGGACUAGUCCAGAAUCGCGGUCUAGUAAUAGGCGAGGGUUCGAAUCCCUCAGGUGUCA
rfam:Trichoderma virens Gv29-8 TRIVIscaffold_2, whole genome shotgun sequence.